rnacentral:lncRNA from 1 species
AUCUUUUUCUUUCCUGUACCAGAGAAAAAGCAAAACGGGAAAGGAGGAGAAAAAAAAAAAACAGGUCUGAGCCUCUCGGGUUCGACCAGGUGAGAGGUGGCAACACCUCCGGCCGCUCCGGGUUAGGGUGUUGGGCAAAUGGGCGUGCAAAGGACGGGCAGCUCCCCGGAAGGUCGGGGUAACUGCUCCGGGACCGUGGGGCCCAAGGCCGGUCUCCUCCCAGAAGGAUUAAAUGCCACCGAGGGGAUCCCGUGGGGUGUCUCCCGGCGCGGACCAGGGUGACAGACCCGCUCUCCACUCCCUCCGGCGCCAGGUGGGGGCCACGCGGUGUCAAACCCGGGCAGCGUGCAGGGGCCGCCCCCCGCGCGACCGGAGCCCGCCCUCCCCUCCCCGUUACCUGCGGGCGGCGGCGCCGGGCCCGGAGGCCUGCUGCUCCUCCUCCUUCUCCCGCCAGGCUGGGGCGGCGAGGCGGCGGCGGCGGCGGCGGCCCGGGGGGAGGGGGCGGAGCGCGCGGCUCGCUGCCUCUCUCCUCCCCCGGGAGGCUCAGGGGCCCCUAUCUCGGGCCGCCGCGCCUAGGCCCGUGAGCAGCCUGUGGUUGGGGCAUGGCGGCACAGCCCACCGGCGUGCCCGCGAGGUACAAUCUAAUCCAAAAGGUCAAGAUGAGGAAAUUAUAAAUCAAAAAAGAACUUUAGAAAACCAACAUUUCCCUCCCAAUAUGGAAAGAAGAUCUGGGGCUGAUUUGAGCUGUGACAUCAUUGGGUAAGGACCUUUUACACCUUUCUGGCCAAAGACACCAGAGAUAAAACCAAGACCUUGCCAUAUUGAGACGUUAGGCCAGGGGGAUUCUCACCUUGCUACAGAAAAAGAAAGGCUGAUGAGCAGGAGUAGAACAGAUCUAAUUUAGGAUCUUGGCUAUUUAGAGGAUAAUAAGCAGCCUCCAUAUGUUUAUAUGGUCUUUCUUCCUACUCAUUAUCAGAAAAUCCUCUUUGGGAAACAGUGUACCAAGUGGGGAGGUGCCAAUGCUAGAAGAAUGGGUACCAGAAAAUAAGAGCAAUAAGAGCUAAGAGUGGGAAAUACAUAUCACCAUGAUUGAUUUAACCCUUUCCCAGCCUCUGUUCCUUCAUCUGUAGUGUGGGAACAACACUAUCUACUGAAGACAGUUAGAACCCUUUUUCUUUAAUAGAGAUGUAGUCUUGCUCUAUUGCCCAGGCUGGUCUCGAUCUGCCAGCCUCAAGUAGUCCUCCC